GAGCCUGAAUAGUUGUCUCACUUUCAUAUUGAGCAAGGACAUGGAAUCUCUGACAAACGAGGAAGACUUGGAACACUUAAGCAAGCAUAACCUCCUGAGAGAAUUUACCAUGAGCAUGUGAUGCUUAGGCUACGGCAGCCAUCUUGGUACCCUGAGAAGAGUCACCCUAAGAGAAGAUGCCAGCAUUCUAGGAAAAGCAGGGCGGGGAUGGAGAAAAAAUCCAGGGCCUGGAUGACAUUGCUGAGCUGCUGAGUUAACCUAGAACUAUCCUAACUCAAGAUUUCUCUUUAUAAGAAUCUCUCUUGCAGGAGUAACACAGGCAUGUGGAGAAUUUCUCAGAGUAUUUCCGCAGCAACCAACUGGCAUGAAGAAUACUUUGCUGAAACAUGGGGUUCAAAAGCAGCCCACAGCUCUCUUUCAGACCUCUGAAGUCACACCCAGUGGUCUAGUCAACAUUUCCUCUUGCAGAGAUUGUAAAGGUUUCAAUCUUAACACCAUGUGACUAAUUCGGUCUCUAUGAUCAAAGCCUUAUAAGAAAGAAUGACUGGUUGACCCGACAUGGACCAAGUGACCGUUCUUGUUCCCAGUGUGUUGUGGGCUAAGAAGAGAUGGGCACAGAAUGAUGGGAACGCAGAGCGAAAGGGCCCAACUCUACCAGGAGGGGAAGAUAAAAACUCCUGAAGAAAUUAUACAAAAAUAGAAUACUUACAACAGAAUUCUCAACAUCAUUUUUCCCUGUUUGAAUCCAGCAAGUCAGCCAUUGGUCACUUAAGAGCACUAACCCCUCCCUGGUUUGAAGAUGUUCUUGACUUUAAAUACAAACAUCUGAUAUUCCAGCUUAGACUCCUCCACAAGAACUAGAGUGUCAUCCUAUUUUGGCUUCCAGCUCAGUCCCUCUGCUACAAGUCUUGACUCCAGAACUCUGUGGGAUAAUAAAAUACAAGAUCAUAGCUUGAAAA
ensembl:lncRNA LINC00626 long intergenic non-protein coding RNA 626